rnacentral:rRNA from 1 species
UACGUAGGGUGCGAGCGUUGUCCGGAAUUAUUGGGCGUAAAGAGCUCGUAGGCGGUGUGUCGCGUCGGCCGUGAAAACCUGCAGCUUAACUGUGGGCUUGCGGUCGAUACGGGCAUCACUGGAGUUCGGCAGGGGAGACUGGAAUUCCUGGUGUAGCGGUGAAAUGCGCAGAUAUCAGGAGGAACACCGGUGGCGAAGGCAGGUCUCUGGGCAUUAACUGACGCUGAGGAGCGAAAGCAUGGGGAGCGAACAGG